AACGAACGCUGGCGGCAUGCCUAACACAUGCAAGUCGAACGAGACCUUCGGGUCUAGUGGCGCACGGGUGCGUAACGCGUGGGAACCUGCCCUUAGGUUCGGAAUAACUCCCCGAAAGGGGUGCUAAUACCGGAUAAUGUCUUCGGACCAAAGAUUUGUCGCCUUUGGAUGGGCCCGCGUUGGAUUAGCUAGUUGGUAGGGUAAAAGCCUACCGAGGCGACGAUCCAUAGCUGGUCUGAGAGGAUGAUCAGCCACACUGGGACUGAGACACGGCCCAGACUCCUACGGGAGGCAGCAGUGGGGAAUAUUGGACAAUGGGCGAAAGCCUGAUCCAGCAAUGCCGCGUGAGUGAUGAAGGCCUUAGGGUUGUAAAGCUCUUUUACCCGGGAUGAUAAUGACAGUACCGGGAGAAUAAGCUCCGGCUAACUCCGUG
rnacentral:rRNA from 1 species